UCGCUACCCCCACGGUCAGGGACUGGCCC
rnacentral:sRNA from 1 species